rnacentral:tRNA from 2 species
GCGGACAUGGUGGAAUUGGCAGACACGCUGGACUUAGGAUCCAGUGGGAAACCAUGCAGGUUCGAAUCCUGUUGUCCGCACCA